rnacentral:rRNA from 1 species
UUCCCGGAGAAUCAAAUAGGAGUAGGAGGAAACUCUGAAAAUGAAAUCUCAUGGCGGCUUCCCCACCUUUUAGAGACGUAUGCCCACUAAAGGACAACACACCAAAAUCUUUCUUUCGAACUAUCCUUUAACACAGCCGUCUGAAGGGCUCCUUUAGAUGGGAGAUCCAACAGCCCCAAACAUUCAUGAAGUUAGUUUGAAGGCAGUAAGUCAGGUAAAUGCUAAGGAAUGCGGAAGUCUGGGUGUACGUCAGUUUGAGCUAAUUGACUAGUUGCUGAAAGGCAUCUGGCUGGAGAGAAUUUAAAAGUAACUUCCAUCUCAUCAUGGGGAAGUGAAUCGGGCAAGGGGAAGUGUU